GACAGAGGAGCCAAGCGUUGUCCGGAUUGACUGGGCGUAAAGCGCACGCAGGCGGUCGUGCACGUGGGGUGUGAAAACUGGCGGCUUAACUGCCAGAGGCCACCUCAUACGGCGCGACUCGAGCCCUGCAGAGGUCCAUGGAAUUGCCGGUGUAGUGGUGAAAUGCUUAGAUAUGACAUAGAACACCAAUUGCGAAGGCAGCUUACUACACAGUUAUUGACGCUGAGGCACGAAAGCGUGGGGAUCAAACAGG
rnacentral:rRNA from 1 species